rnacentral:tRNA from 1 species
GGAGCGAUACCACCAAGAUCGGCAUCCGGCUUUGCAAGCAGGAAGUCAGGAGUUCGAAUCUCCUAGGCUCCACCA